AGUGAACGCUGGCGGUAGGCCUAACACAUGCAAGUCGAACGGCAGCACAGUAAGAGCUUGCUCUUACGGGUGGCGAGUGGCGGACGGGUGAGGAAUACAUCGGAAUCUACUUUUUCGUGGGGGAUAACGUAGGGAAACUUACGCUAAUACCGCAUACGACCUACGGGUGAAAGCAGGGGAUCUUCGGACCUUGCGCGAUUGAAUGAGCCGAUGUCGGAUUAGCUAGUUGGCGGGGUAAAGGCCCACCAAGGCGACGAUCCGUAGCUGGUCUGAGAGGAUGAUCAGCCACACUGGAACUGAGACACGGUCCAGACUCCUACGGGAGGCAGAAGUGGGGAAUAUGGGACAAUGGGCGCAAGCCUGAUCCAGCCAUACCGCGUGGGUGAAGAAGGCCUUCGGGUUGUAAAGCCCUUUUGUUGGGAAAGAAAAGCAGCAGGUUAAUACCCCGCUGUUCUGACGGUACCCAAAGAAUAAGCACCGGCUAACUUCGUG
rnacentral:rRNA from 1 species